rnacentral:rRNA from 1 species
UACGUAGGGGGCAAGCGUUGUCCGGAAUCAUUGGGCGUAAAGCGCGCGUAGGCGGCUAGAUCAGUCUGCUGUAAAAGUCAAAAGGCUCAACCUUUGAAAGCCGGUGGAUACUGUCUAGCUAGAGUCCGGAAGAGGCGAGUGGAAUUCCUGGUGUAGCGGUGGAAUGCGCAGAUAUCAGGAGGAACACCAACGGCGAAGGCAGCUCGCUGGGACGGUACUGACGCUAAGGCGCGAAAGCGUGGGGAGCAAACAGG